AAUGAACGCUGGCGGCGUGCCUAACACAUGCAAGUCGAGCGAGAAAGUCUCUUCGGAGAUAAGUACAGCGGCGGACGGUGAGUAACGCGUGAGAAUUUACCCUUUAGUGAAGAAUACCUCUGAGAAAUCAGGGUUAAUACUGCAUACGUCCCUACGGGGAGAGAGGUGGCCUCUUUGCUGCCGCUAAAGGAUAAGCUUGCGUACUAUUAGCUAGUUGGUGAGGUAAAGGCUCACCAAGGCGAUGAUGGUUAGCCGGCCUGAGAGGGUGUACGGCCACACUGGAACUUAGACACGGUCCAGACUCCUACGGGAGGCAGCAGUGAGGAAUAGUGCGCAAUGGGCGAAAGCCUGACGCAGCGACGCCGCGUGGAGGAUGAAGGUCUUCGGAUUGUAAACUCCUGUUAAGUGGGAAGAAAGACCUAUUUCUAAUACAGAUAGGGGAUGACGGUACCAUUAGAGAAAGACACCGGCUAACUUACGUGCCAGCAGCCGCCGGUAAU
rnacentral:rRNA from 1 species